rnacentral:lncRNA from 1 species
UUUCUUGUUCAAGUGUGUAGCUAAUAUGCCCGAGUCUCACUCCAUUUUUUGAUACAUGACCAACAUGUGUAUUAGUUUCUGUUUAUUCCCUUCAAUUAGCAUACUUAUGUUAGUAACUUGAUCUUCUAAUGUGCUUGAUUGGUCUUAAGUGGUAUGACCAAUCAUGUCUUAUGCACCUGUGUCUUCAACAUGGCUUUUACUCCACUCUUUCUCUAUGUUUUAACCACCUAUUUACAUGACUGACUUGUUGAGCGGACUCCUAGUUGUUUUGUGCAUUUGUUAUCUCAAAUGGUUUCCAAUUUAUGCAGUUUCAACUCUAUAUGUUCCCAACCCCUUCACCCCUAUUUGUAAAUUUGCUUGUUAAGUGUCUGUGAAUCUGGG